rnacentral:lncRNA from 1 species
UUGGGGCGCAGGUGAGGACGGCCUCUCCGACGGUGAGGAAGAUCUUGUCGUGGCCGAUGAGCUCUAUCAGCCUUGACGCAUGCAGCUUCUCCAUCACCGGCUCCCCCGGGUUCGCCAGAGCCAGCUGCACCACAGCGCAUCACAACCCUGUAAGUCCCCCCAGUCUCAAGCAUCUGCUUCAUUCCAACCGCAUAAUCAGAUCGAAUCCCCAUUCCCCCCCCGCCCCCAUCCUAUAUUUAGAAAGCUAUCGUGGCUCCGUUCAUCUGAGCCGCCCAAGAACACGGGUCAGUCCCCAAAUGAGAAUAUAGUCGCCUCAGGGUCAACUACCUGAACACCCCUCUUCUGUAGGGCCUUGUGCAGAUCCUCCAGGGCGUGGAUGCCGCUGGUGUCUAUGUUGAUGACCGCUGGUAGAAGAGCAAGGGAAAAUAGAGGAAAUCAGAAGAGAUUAGCGUCAAAAGCAAACCCAUCUAAUUACCGUAUUAAGAAGGAAAUUAGAUCGAGUGGGAUCAAAAAUUUGCAUCCGAUAUAGUUAGCAUUCAAUGCGGGGAUUACUCACGAGACAUCUCCACGAUCACAAAUUCUAUCUUUGGCAGCUGAUUCUCCUCCAGCCUCUCUUGCUCGUCAGUCAGCCACCUCAGUAUCCUGCAAAAUACAACGUCCCAAUUUUAGUAACACGGCACCUCAAUCACGGUCCAUCCAAUGAGCUUUAAUGGCCGCCCAGUCUUGGUGGGCUCGAUCGAGUUAAUUCCAUAAAAGGCAUAUAUACAUGUUUUUCUCUGCUAUAUUAUUUUUGUUUCCCAUAUCUAUCCGUUCAUUUUGCUGCAUCUUCUGUUUUUUUGUGUUUGUUUAUCCUGAUUAGUCAAAGCCUGCGGUGAAUCUCUUACCUCUCCUUCACGUAGUUUGAGUUGGAAAAAUAGAUCGCCGAGUCAACUCGCACGAUCAUCACCCCAGGCACCCUCGUCGCCUCUGGGUACUGGUCAACGUUCCUAUAUAUGGUAGUUCCAGGGAGGUUCCCAAGGAGGGCGGUCCUCGGUCUCGUCACUUGCAGCAGAAUCUUCGCAAAUGAUAUGACCACCUAUUUAGAAAAGAAAAAAGACAAACAAACAAGGGAAAAAAAACCUAGAUCUGUCAGUGCCCGGCCACAAAUUUCUAACCCAGAUUAGAAAAAUAUUUAGAAUCCAAAAAAAUUUCAAAAAUUUUUUUUUUUCUCACAGAUAUUAGGAGCCCGAUUUCAACGGACACAAAUACUACUCCGAAGAACGCUCCCAUGCAGGCCAUGAAAUCAAACUUAUCGAUCUUCCAAAUUAGCAGGGCGGCGUCAAAGUCGAUCAGCCCAAUCACCGCCGAUAUGAUGAUCGAAGAGAGGACGGCGUUUGGGGUGUACUUGAAGAGGGGAGUGAUCACUUCCAGGGUCAGGAACACAACCAAGGACAUGAUCAUAUUGGAGACCGCCGUCUGGCA